rnacentral:misc_RNA from 1 species
GGCCCCUUCGUUUUCUCUCUGGACGCGUCUUUCCCAAAAUAGAGAAUAUCUGGAUUUCGCUUUUGCUUUUGAAAGUAGUAAUUUUUAUUUUAUUUUUAAUUUCUAGAGGAAAAAAAAAGUAACUCAUAAGCCCAUAUUUUUUUCCCCUCGAUUUCGAAUACCAAUGAAAUACUACGUCUUGGAUGUGGUUUUGGGAUAGGUGUUCUUGCUUAGAUGCUCAAAUUUUCUAAAUUCGAAACAGAUUCUUCCUCUCUCCAUCCCUGGAUUUCACUUUCUCUUUCUAGAUCGACCUCAGGUUUUUCACCUUCCUUCGAUCGUCUUCUUCUCUGGCUCGUCGUGUACUGUUACUGUAUCAUCUGUGUCAUCCCUGGCUUUUUAUUGCCUUGGAGAUUUGGAUCUAUAUUUCAGAGAACUAGGGUCUAUAUUUUAGAGAACUAGGUCGACUACUAUUAUUGAGUGGCUUACUUGAAUUCACGGGUUUAUUUCAAUCAGUGUGAUAUGAAUAUGGGUUCUGGUAGUGAGUUUUAAGUGAAAUGGGUUUUAAGGUUCAAGCAUUUUUAUCAUACUUAUGUAUGCUUCAGUGAUGGAGGUAGCUUGGAGGAUGAAUAGGAAUUUAGUUUUUGUGUGAUUUGCUGAUAUCUUUUAAUCAUGGCAGAGCUUAUGGAAUGAGAAAGAAUACAAUUUGAAGAAUGGAUGAUGAUAGAGAAAUUGGG